GACGGAGGAUGCAAGUGUUAUCCGGAAUUACUGGGCGUAAAGCGUCUGUAGGUGGUUUAGUAAGUCAACUGUUAAAUCUUGAGGCUCAACUUCAAAACAGCAGUCGAAACUAUUAGACUAGAGUAUAGUAGGGGUAAAGGGAAUUUCCAGUGGAGCGGUGAAAUGCGUAGAUAUUGGAAAGAACACCGAUGGCGAAGGCACUUUACUGGGCUAUUACUAACACUCAGAGACGAAAGCUAGGGUAGCAAAUGGG
rnacentral:rRNA from 1 species